ACGCGCGCGCACGCACGCACGACGUAACGAUGUAACGACGCAAGUGACGCACGCCACGGCGACGUACGACGCACGACGGAGCGACGUAGACCACAGGAAGCAGACUACAAGGCGCGGAGAUAUAUUAGAAGUACAAAAUACAAAGUACAAAGCUGCCAGGCACAGUGAUGUGCAGCCAGGCUCAGCUGUGUGCUGGCAGUUUAAGCCUUCAAUAGAGCAUUUGGAAGGGAAGAGAAGGGAAACUGGACCAGGAUCACUGAAAGCAAGGAGUUCUCAUUGUUAUCUGAAAUUCCUGAAAAGUCACCACAUCAGCCAUGGUUGGCCAGGUGGAAAAAGACAAACAGAUGCUGCUGCUAUUGAAUAGGAGUUGAGAGGAUGAAAAUAUUGCAUCUGCUGGAAGCACAUGAACUGGGAACAAGAACCAUCUUGUGUACAUCCUUCAAGGCACAAGGGAGAUAACUAGUCACCAGUGAAUUAUGUGGGUUUGAGCUGAAUUAUGAAGAUUUGCACUUGCUGUAUCCAUUUUUGGCAGCCAUGCCUGCUGGGUUGAUAACACACCUGCAUAGGGUUGCAUGAUCAAUUUAAUUCACUCUCAUAACAAGAUAUGGGCCAUUUUAAUGAAAAAUUCCCAGAGACAUGUCAAGAAGUCACCUCAUAAAUUUAAAAAGCAUCAAUAAUCAGAGAUUAUUCUGAACUUUUAAAAAAAAUCAGCACAGCAUUCACACUAUUCUAGCUGCAAAGCAGAAGGAAACCUUCCAAAAACGGAAGUUUUAGGCUUCAGUCCAGCAGAUGGCUUUUGUUGUCCUGCAUAAACAAGAAGCCAAUUUAGUUUACUCUCUGAAUAAUUCAUAGAAAGGUAUGUUAUCCUCACCACAACUUGUGCAAAGAUAAUUUUAUGCUUUACCAUGCUCUUGGGAUGAGUUAUAAUGAGAGGGGGAAAGAAAGAGAUUAACAGGGAGUAAAAAGCAGACAACUCUACAUAAAAUUCCAAGAGAAUUCUCCUUUCUUUUUGUAAUGUUAAAAAUAGCCAAGCAAUAUAAACAAAUCUCUGGCACAGAAAAUACAUAUCAAUUCACUACUUGCUAUCUGUAUCUAGAAGGCAAAAGUGCAUACUUACUAAGAGCACCCUAGGAGUGGUUCUUGAUUAUUUUUUAGCACAAACUGAAUUGGCUGAUCUGCCAAGAAAAUUGCUCCAUUAGAAAAAGGCAGAGGUUUGAUAUUGGCUGCCAUUCUGAUUUCAGAAGGAAUGAGCCCUCUCUGAUAGGUAAAGAUAAUCUUAGACGUUGCUUUGAAUAGUCUUUUUGUCACUUGGUAUCUAAACAUCACGAAGAAAGACUACUGCAGAAUCUGAAAGAAUGAGAAAGUCGAGUUUUACAAAAUCUCUCCUGCCACUCAAUAUUUGCUGACAAAAAGUUUGAGAUUCUAUUGUAAUCUAUUUUUACACACUUUUGGCUGUUUAUGUUCCCAUUUCACAGAAGAUAAACUGAAGAUGCAAGAAAGUGACUUUUUUAAAGACAAUCAAGGGAUUGCAUGACAUCCCCCUCCUGGAUCAAGGCCUAGUUGUACUCAUAUGUUCUGCUGCUACAAUCUAUGAAAGCAGAAAAUGAAGUUAGACACUCAGCCACCACAGUUU
rnacentral:lncRNA from 1 species